UGAGUACGAGAUGCUACGGCAUCGAAGCAGUCUAUGUCAUACUUCCAAGAAAAGCUUGCACUGUCAUAACCAAAAAAUGCCUGUACCAUAACCGACACAGGUGGGUAGGUAGAGUAUACUAAGGGGCGCGAGAUAACUCUCUCUAAGGAACUCGGCAAAAUGACUCCGUAACUUCGGGAGAAGGAGUGCCUUAUUUAUAAGGUUGCAAUAACAAGAUCCAAGCAACUGUUUACCAAAAACACAGGUCUCCGCGAAGUCGUAAGACGAUGUAUGGGGGCUGACGCCUGCCCAGUGCCAGAAGGUUAAAGAAGUUGGUUAGCAUUCGCGAAGCUGAUAACUGAAGCCCUGGUGAACGGCGGCCGUAAUGAUAACGGUCCUGAGGUAGCGAAAUUCCUUGUCGGGUAAGUUCCGACCCGCACGAAAGGCGUAAUGAUUUGGAUACUGUCUCGGAGAGGGGCUCGGUGAAAUAGACUUGUCUGUGAAGAUGCGGACUACCUGCACCUGGACAGAAAGACCCUAUGAAGCUUUACUGUAACUUGAAAUUGAAAUUGGACUUUAUUUGCGCAGUAUAGGUGGGAGGCAUUGAGAAUAACCUUCGGGGUUAUUGGAGCCAUCAGUGAGAUACCACUCUUGUAAUGUUAGAUUUCUAACUUUGUAUCAUUAUCUGGUCAAAGAACAGUUUCAGGCGGGCAGUUUGACUGGGGCGGUCGCCUCCCAAACGGUAACGGAGGCGCACAAAGGUUUCCUCUGAACGGGUAGAAAUCGUAUCUAGAGUGUAAAGGCAUAAGGAAGCUUGACUGUGAGACCUACAAGUCGAGCAGGGACGAAAGUCGGUCUUAGUGAUCUGACGGUGCUGAGUGGAAAGGCCGUCACUCAACGGAUAAAAGUUACUCUAGGAUAACAGGCUGAUCUCCCCCAAGAGUUCACAUCGACGGGGAGGUUUGGCACCUCGAUGUCGGCUCAUCGCAUCCUGGGGCGGUAGUACGUCCCAAGGGUUGGGCUGUUCGCCCAUGAAAGCGGUACGCGAGCUGGGUUCAGAACGUCGUGAGACAGUUCGGUCCAUAUCCGGUGUAGGCGUUAGAAUAUUGAGAGGAGCCUUCUCUAGUACGAGAGGACCGAGAAGGACAUACCUCUGGUGUACCAGUUAUCGUGCCAACGGUAAACGCUGGGUAGCUAUGUAUGGAGUGGAUAACCGCUGAAAGCAUCUAAGUGGGAAGCCCACCUCAAGAUAAGUAUUCCC
rnacentral:rRNA from 1 species